GCUUACUACAGAGCCCUGGACACCAGAGGCGCCCAGCAAAUAGUAACGAUGCCAUUUGAAAGACCCAGCGGAUUGGGAGUCAGGGACGCCAUGAAGACUCCCUGGAGAGCUUUUGGGAAUGAUGAGGAACUUCCAGGCUGCACGUGGAGCGGGGAAGGAUGAGCCGGAAUGGGCGGCCUGAUGCCAAGCUAGUGGCCCACUGGGUCACCCCCUUGCAGUUGGAAGUGGGUCAAGAUCUUCGGGAUAGAGACGACCGCCGGCGUUGAUAGAGCCCGGGAAUCUCUGGAUUUUCAGGAAAAGAUGGGGUGGCCUCCGUUCUCGAGCCAGAGCCAAGUUGCGUUGGCUGCCUAUUGACCCACCCGUGGGGACUGCUGCUGACUGGGGAUUCGUAAUUAAUAGAUUGUGUGGUGUUUGUGUCCCACGCCCUGGGGAUUUCUGUGCCCUAAUCGUGCAGAUUAAAAAAAUUAAUGGGAUUUUUUGCGGCUUGAUCGGCGAGGCUAAUUAGUCGCCUUGUCCCUGUUGACUCCCUAGGCGUGGAAAUUUCUCCCGGGGGGCGGCGGCACUGCUUUUUGGGGGCCGGAGGCUGGCUGGCCACUUCGGGGGUUUUGGGGGUCUUUUGUGGUUUUUUUUGGUGCCGCAGCAGCGACCUCUCGGAGCCCAUGUCCCCGAAGAAGAGGUGAAAUAAAGCAAUUUGAAACACUUCUGAAA